ACUAGAGUAGCACUCGCAUAUCAAUAAGCGGAGGAAAAGAAACUAACAAGGAUUCCCUUAGUAACGGCGAGUGAAGCGGGAAGAGCUCAAAUUUGAAAUCUUCAAGGUUUUACCUUGACGAAUUGUAGUUUAAAGAAGUGUUUUCUGUUGAAGUUUUGGUAAAAGUUCUUUGGAAUAGGACAUCAUAGAGGGUGAGAAUCCCGUAUUUGACCAUUAUUUUCAGCUGUGUGAUACACUUUCAAAGAGUCGGAUUGUUUGGGAAUGCAGUCCAAAAUGGGUGGUAAAUUUCAUCUAAAGCUAAAUAUUGGCGAGAGACCGAUAGCGAACAAGUACCGUGAGGGAAAGAUGAAAAGAACUUUGAAAAGAGAGUUAAACAGUACGUGAAAUUGUCAAAAGGGAAGCGUUUGACACCAGUGUUGUUUUCUCGAAAAUCAAUUAAAAAAGGCCGGAUUUUGUGUUGUAUUGACCUUAAAAGCUUUCUUCACUCUUUUCUUGUCUUUUUUAAUGCACUUUUCGUUUAACAAGUCAACAUCAGUUUCUUUUGUUGUAAAAGGGUCAUUGGAAGGUGGCUUUCUUUUCGGAGAAAGUGUUUAUAGCCUUUGAUCUCUGCAACCGGAGAGACUGAGGUCUGCAGCGUAGACUCUUCGGGGUUAAAUACAUUUGUGCUAAGCUAUAGCCUUUUAUAGACAACUUGUUGACUAUAUCAGUCCUGUAGCUUACUCGCUUAUGCUAUUUUACCUACGCUUAGGAUGUUGAUAGUCACAGCGUGUAC
rnacentral:rRNA from 1 species